UGGGCUGAACGAGAGUUCCAGGUCCACCAAAGCGGCGGGGAGACUCCUC
rnacentral:ncRNA from 1 species